UAAUUGAAGGGUUUGAUCCUGGCUCAGAACGAACGCUGGCGGCGUGGUUGAUACAUGCAAGUCGAACGGGAAAGGUGACUUCGGUUGCCGAGUAUAGUGGCGGACGGGUGAGUAAUGUAUGAUCAAUUUGCCCGGAAGACCAGGAUAGCUAUCCGAAAGGAUAGGUAAUACUGGAUAAGCCCACAGCGGGGCAUCCCGCAGUGGGAAAAGGUUAGGGAUCUUCGGACCUUUCGCUUCCGGAUGAGAUUAUAUCCUAUCAGUUUGUUGGCGGGGUAACGGCCCACCAAGACGACGACGGGUAGCCGGCCUGAGAGGGUGGACGGCCACACUGGAACUGAGACACGGUCCAGACUCCUACGGGAGGCAGCAGUGCUGAAUUAUUCGCCAAUGCGCGAAAGCGUGACGGUGCGACGCCGCGUGCGGGAUGAAGGCCUUCGGGUUGUAAACCGCUGUCAGGGCAUAGAAAACCAUCCGGGUUAAUAGCCCGGAUAUUGAUCAUGCCCAAAGGAAGCACAGGCUAAUCUCGUGCCAGCAGCCGCGGUAAUACGAGAUGUGCGAGCGUUGUUCGGAAUCACUGGGCAUAAAGGGUGCGUAGGCGGUGUACCAAGUCGGAUGUGAAAUCCCUUUGCUUAACAAAGGAACUGCAUUCGAUACUAGUAUGCUAGAGGGUAAAAGGGGCAAGCGGAAUUCUAGGUGUAGCGGUGGAAUGCGUAGAUAUCUGGGAGAACGCCGAUGGCGAAGGCAGCUUGCUGGGUUACUUCUGACGCUGAGGCACGAAAGCUAGGGGAGCAAACAGGAUUAGAUACCCUGGUAGUCCUAGCCGUAAACGAUGGGCACUUUGUUCUGGGGGGCCUGAUCCCCUCGGAGCCGUAGCUAAUGUGUUAAGUGCCCCGCCUGGGGAGUAUGGUCGCAAGGUUAAAACUCAAAGGAAUUGACGGGGGCUCACACAAGCGGAGGAGCAUGUUGUUCAAUUCGAAGCAACGCGAAGAACCUUACCUGGGCUUGACAUGGUAGUAGUAGGAUCCUGAAAGGGUGACGACUCGUAAAGUCGAGAGCUAUCACAGGUGCUGCAUGGCUGUCGUCAGCUCGUGUCGUGAGACGUUGGGUUAAGUCCCGUAACGAGCGAAACCCUUGUCGUCUGUUGCUACCGGGUCAUGCCGGGCACUCUGACGAGACUGCCGGUGUUAAACCGGAGGAAGGUGGGGACGACGUCAAGUCAUCAUGGUCCUUACGCCCAGGGCUACAAACGUGCUACAAUGGUGAGUACAGAGAGACGCAAUGUCGCGAGACGGAGCAAAUCUUCAAAACUCACCCCAGUUCGGAUUGGAGGCUGCAAUUCGCCUCCAUGAAGUUGGAUUCGCUAGUAAUCGCGGAUCAGCCACGCCGCGGUGAAUAAGUUCCUGAGCCUUGUACACACCGCCCGUCAAGCCACCCAAGUUGGAAGCACCCGAAGUCCGGCGCCAAUUGUCCGGCCGAAGGUGAGUCUGGUGAGGGGGACUAAGUCGUAACAAGGUAGCCGUAGGGGAACCUGCGGCUGGAUCACCUCCUUU
rnacentral:rRNA from 1 species